GAUCCACUGGAUGAUACAGCAAGUUUUUCCAAAAGCAGGAGCAACUUUGCACAGUUAGCAGGCGUGAAUACCAAAAGACCUGUACGCUUCUUUAACAGUUGUUUGACUGAAAUGCACAUAACUACCAAAAACCAUUGCACUCUCCUAGUAGGAAUCCAUUAGAAAUCACAGUUCAAGAAGGGUUUCUAUUUCACCUUAUAUUCUGACUGAUGAGUUGUAACUGUAUGGAGAAACCCCAGGAUUGAUAUAGGAGAUUGUAUCCGAAGCUUUUUAUGUCCAUCCUUAGAGAAAGCUGGAAGAAGCAUUUGUAUGUGGAUGAAUCAGCAGGGAAAGACCUGAAGUGCAUUAUUUAUACUUCAAUCGCCUGAAGCUCCGUCAUCAGUAACAAAAAAUGUCCAAGUUGAGCCUUUGCCAGCUAAGCAAUGUGCUGGAAUGACCAUAAGCCUGGCUCUGCCAUUGCACUUUGUGGGGAGGGUUAAAUGGUUAAUUAUUGAGUAAAAUGGUGGCUAAUGUUUCCAUUUGAUUUAUUGAAGAGCACUUUGAACAGAAAGAAUGAACUGGUGCUGAAAGGACUUGGGGAAAACCUGCAGGAUGAACUUAAGAAAAUGGUUUUGUGUUGCUUUAUUGUUUCAGUUUUUUCCCCCUACCCCAGUCAGUGGACAUGAAUCAAACUGGUCAUAUAUCAUAUUUCAUAUAUUGCCUUUGCUAAUGGCAUGUGCUUGUAUGGAACCAGACUGGGGCAGUGGGAGUUUUACAAGGCUCCCAUGGUGCAUAACUGAGUCUCAAACUCCAGAGUUCAUUGCAAAUGCAUUUUUGAAGUGUUGUUUUGUUGGUUUUUUUUAUGGUUCGAUUACAUUAUCUACUAGUAUCAUUUAGUUUGCAGUCAAAUUACACUUUCUUUUUUGUCUUGAUCUGUUAGGCCUGAUACAGCAGCCCCUCAUUUGCAUGGAUAGAAUCCUGUGGUCCAGAGCUCAGUAUUUUACCAGCUAUCCUAACAAAAGCUGUGUGUAAAGGCAUUUGAGCUCCCAGUUUUGGUGGGUUUUUAAAACAUUUUUAAUAAACUGAGCUGUUAGUGUACAUUCUGCAGAGAAGAGAAAGGCAGAAGGCAGCACUGGUCUGGUUGCUGUGUUUCUCCUGCUGUAGCAACCCUCAUAGCAGCAGAUGGCAUGCUGCCCCCAUGGUUGUAAAUCCUCCCAUACAGGGUCUGGCUGGCAGCUAUCUACAAAUAUGCAAUAAAAAGGCUCACACUUGGAAGCAGAAACAUCAGACAUAUAUCAGAUGACUAAGUUAAUACACAUUUAUAUAAAUAUUCAGGAUUGCUUGAAUCGUUUUAUUUGCAGAAUGGAUAAUGGAAAAUCUGCAUGCUUCAGCCAUGUUGAAAGGAUUUCUCUGUUUGCUCGUGUGCUUGCAUACAGACAGACAAUGGUUAGAGACGGGUGAACAGUCUAAUGAAAAUGUAGAACAAGUCUUCUAUAUAAAUAAACAAAUUUUUUCAUUGAUUAA